AUUGAACGCUGGCGGCAGGCCUAACACAUGCAAGUCGAGCGGCAGCGGGAAAGUAGCUUGCUACUUUUGCCGGCGAGCGGCGGACGGGUGAGUAAUGCCUGGGAAAUUGCCCAGUCGAGGGGGAUAACAGUUGGAAACGACUGCUAAUACCGCAUACGCCCUACGGGGGAAGGCAGGGGACCUUCGGGCCUUGCGCGAUUGGAUAUGCCCAGGUGGGAUUAGCUAGUUGGUGAGGUAGUGGCUCACCAAGGCGACGAUCCCUAGCUGGUCUGAGAGGAUGAUCAGCCACACUGGAACUGAGACACGGUCCAGACUCCUACGGGAGGCAGCAGUGGGGAAUAUUGCACAAUGGGGGAAACCCUGAUGCAGCCAUGCCGCGUGUGUGAAGAAGGCCUUCGGGUUGUAAAGCACUUUCAGCGAGGAGGAAAGGUCAGUAGCUAAUAUCUGCUGACUGUGACGUUACUCGCAGAAGAAGCACCGGCUAACUCCGUGCCAGCCGCCGCCGUAAUAC
rnacentral:rRNA from 1 species